rnacentral:rRNA from 1 species
UGGGGAAUAUUGCACAAUGGGCGCAAGCCUGAUGCAGCCAUGCCGCGUGUGUGAAGAAGGCCUUCGGGUUGUAAAGCACUUUCAGCGGGGAGGAAGGCGUUAAGGUUAAUAACCUUGGCGAUUGACGUUACCCGCAGAAGAAGCACCGGCUAACUCCGUGCCAGCAGCCGCGGUAAUACGGAGGGUGCAAGCGUUAAUCGGAAUUACUGGGCGUAAAGCGUACGCAGGCGGUCUGUCAAGUCGGAUGUGAAAUCCCCGGGCUCAACCUGGGAACUGCAUUCGAAACUGGCAGGCUAGAGUCUUGUAGAGGGGGGUAGAAUUCCAGGUGUAGCGGUGAAAUGCGUAGAGAUCUGGAGGAAUACCGGUGGCGAAGACGGCCCCCUGGACAAAGACUGACGCUCAGGUGCGAAAGCGUGGGGAGCAAACAGG